rnacentral:rRNA from 1 species
GAUCAUGGCUCAGGAUGAACGCUAGCUACAGGCUUAACACAUGCAAGUCGAGGGGCAGCAUUUUAGUUUGCUUGCAAACUAAGAUGGCGACCGGCGCACGGGUGAGUAACACGUAUCCAACCUGCCGAUAACUCGGGGAUAGCCUUACGAAAGAAAGAUUAAUAUCCGAUGGUAUAUAAACCGCAUGUUUACUAUAAAGUAAUUUCGGUUAUCGAUGGGGAGUGCGUUCCAUUAGUUGUUGGCGGGUACGG